AGUCAUGGCAAUGCACCAUACCCUACAAGAUUUCCUCUACUUAAUGAAGUUAUGGCUGCUACAUUUCUUACACAGCCUUUGAAGCCGUCAAUCACAUGUCCAAAUCCUCUCCAUUCUCUGCUAUUCUAACGCUAAGAAACCGAUCCAAACUAUCAACCAAAACAUCUAAACAAACAAACUUUAUCAUGCUCAAGUUAAAACCCUAGAGAUGAUUGCAAGCGAGGUGGAUAGUGAUGUGAGCGACAAAGGAGAAAUGGAAAAUCCGGAGUUAUGCCCAAAAUGGAUAGCUUUGCUGACUAUGGAGAAAGCUUGCUUAUCUACUAUCUCUCUUGAAGAAACCACUGGUGCAGUAAGGAAGUUGGGGGGCAACUUUAGGGAAAAAUUACGAGAGCGUAGAGGUCUUGAUGCUGUAUUUGAGGUGACCAUGGAUUGCCAUUCCAAUUUGGAGUGAUUGAGCUUAAGGGCAACAUCCGAGUUUUCUGCACAUGUAGACCUUUGAAUCAAACUGAAAUUUCACGCGGAUCUGGUUUCGUUGUUGAAUUCGAAUCCUCCGUAGAUAAUGAGUUGCAGGUCAUUUGUUCUAAUCCUCGAAAAAGCAGUUCAAGUUUGACCAUGUCUUCAGACUUGAGGACAACGAAGGUCUAUGUGUGCAGCAAGCAAAAUCCUUUCAUUCAUAUGAGCUUCUUGGCCUCUUUACCUUGCUUUUCUUUUGGCUCCAGAAUAACAUAUGGAGACAUAUCAUCUUUCUCUUCUCUCUCUAUCUGUCUUUCUCUCUGUAUGAGCGUUGUCUCUCUCUUUAGGAGCGCACCAUCAGGGGCCGUAAUUAAAUCUUAUCGUUUUGCUAUAUUUCUCUUACUUUUGAGUAUUAUGAGGAUGAGAUUUUAGACUCAUCAGCGACAAAAAAAAGUUGCUUUCAUUUUAUAGGAGUGAAAGAUUUGAUUUUUCAUGCACUUAUCUUUUAAUUUUAUUUGUUUAUUUAGUUUUCCCAAUAUUUUCAUGCACUGAACUUUUUUUUUUCAUGAGUUUUUAUUAAGCUUUGUGACUUUUUUUGUAUUGGUUGAUUUCUAAAUUACUAUAGUUAAGAAGAUUAGUGCAUUUAUAAUUUGCUGCUUAGCUUAACAUGAUCCUUCAAUAAAAUUUGGGUCUUAGUUAAAGUUAGGUCAUAUUUUUAAGAAAGGUAAAAACUAAGGAAAUUUUCUGCGUAAGUCCUGCUCAACUUUUGUUGGCAAAUUGGUCUUUGCCAAUAAAUGUUAUUUUUGGGUGCUAACUGUUUUGGUCUUUAUAAAUUCUGGUAGUGGUGAUUUCUUCUACACUUAUGAUGUGACAACGUUGUGUAAUGAUUGUAGGUUUUUGAAAAAUUUGAGCUUCACAAACUAUGGAAAAAGAAACAAGUUUUGCUGAAAUCAAUUUAAAGGCACAAUAACAAAGAUUAUGUUGAUUGUCCAUCACCCUGUGUUGUUGUUGGACCAUGAGGUGGAGCUGGCGGUGAUCAUCUCUCAGAAACCUCACGAUGUUUCGCAGUCCACCGCCGUGGAUUACGUCAUGGGUGAGGCAGAUAUAGGGGGAGAGGGAAAUUGUGGUUUCAGCACUCUCACUUCUGUUCUUGGAAGGUGGAAUCGGUGGAGCUUCCCACUCACCUAGGCAUCUUUCCUUUCUGAAACAAGGUCCUUCUACCCUGCGCCUUCUUCAAAUUCACUACACUUCACCCAACAGGUAAUUGAUCAUUAUGCGGUUUGUAAGUUGGAUUUUUCUAACUGGUGGAUUAUCAAAUUGAUAAAAUUGGGGAAUUUGAUUAAGGUAGUGUCAAAUUGGUGGAGCAUGAAUUAUGGCAGCGGGAAGAGAAGGGUUUAAUUGGUAUUCUUCCCGUUCAAGAUGUUGCCGAGGCAACAACAGUGGACUCUUUGUUGUCUCAAGGUGAGAUGCCUAUGAUUAAGUGAAAGUGAAAUCUAAGAGGUUUUUUGUUGUUAUUGUUGGGAAUUUACCUAAUUUUAGGAAUGGGAAGUGAUUCUGGUGAACGAAGCUCUAGAGUUCAAGUUUGUACUCAUCUCUCAUUCUUUUUUUAUAGUUAGGUUGAAAAUCAUAUCGGUAGAUUCUUUAUUUAAUUGGUCCAAUUUGUAACACAUGAGAUUGUUUUGUUCGAUGUUUCAAUCAAAAUUUAAUUUUUUUUUGUGUGCAA